UGAGGAAUAUUGGUCAAUGGACGGAAGUCUGAACCAGCCAAGUAGCGUGCAGGAUGACGGCCCUAUGGGUUGUAAACUGCCUUUGUAUGGGGAUAAAGUUAGGGACGUGUCCCUAUUUGUAGGUACCAUACGAAUAAGGACCGGCUGAUUCCGUGCCAGCAGCCGCGGUAAUACGGAAGGUCCAGGCGUUAUCCGGAUUUAUUGGGUUUAAAGGGAGCGUAGGCUGGAGAUUAAGUGUGUUGUGAAAUGUAGACGCUCAACGUCUGAAUUGCAGCGCAUACUGGUUUCCUUGAGUACGCACAACGUUGGCGGAAUUCGUCGUGUAGCGGUGAAAUGCUUAGAUAUGACGAAGAACUCCGAUUGCGAAGGCAGCUGACGGGAGCGCAACUGACGCUUAAGCUCGAAGGUGCGGGUAUCAAACAGGAUUAGAUACCCUGGUAGUCCGCACAGUAAACGAUGGAUGCCCGCUGUUGGUACCUGGUAUCAGCGGCUAAGCGAAAGCAUUUAAGCAUCCCACCUGGGGAGUACGCCGGGCNACGGUG
rnacentral:rRNA from 1 species